CAAGCGAGCGGAGCGUGUGGUUUAAUUCGAUGCUACACGAAGAACCUUACCAGGGUUUGACAUGCAAGUGGUAGGAAACCGAAAGGCGACCGACCCUUCGGGGAGCUUGCACAGGUGCUGCAUGGCUGUCGUCAGCUCGUGUCGUGAGAUGUUCGGUUAAGUCCGCUAACGAGCGCAACCCUCGCUGUGUGUUACAAGUGUCACACGGUACUGCCGGUCUUAAGCCGGAGGAAGGUGGGGAUGACGUCAAGUCAGCAUGGCCUUUAUGUCCUGGGCUACACACACGCUACAAUGGCCAACACAAUAGGUUGCUAAGCCGCGAGGUGGAGCCAAUCCUCAAAGUUGGUCUCAGUUCAGAUUGCAGGCUGCAACCCGCCUGCAUGAAGAUGGAGUUGCUAGUAACCGCAGGUCAGCUAUACUGCGUUGAAUACGUUCCCGGGGUUU
rnacentral:rRNA from 1 species